UACGUAGGGUGCGAGCGUUGUCCGGAAUUAUUGGGCGUAAAGGGCUCGUAGGCGGUCUGUCGCGUCGGGAGUGAAAACUCAGGGCUUAACCCUGAGCCUGCUUCCGAUACGGGCAGACUAGAGGUAUGCAGGGGAGAACGGAAUUCCUGGUGUAGCGGUGAAAUGCGCAGAUAUCAGGAGGAACACCGGUGGCGAAGGCGGUUCUCUGGGCAUUACCUGACGCUGAGGCGCGAAAGCCAGGGGAGCAAACGGG
rnacentral:rRNA from 1 species